CCCAGAGAACAGCUCGGACGAGGGGAAGAAGGGCUGCGACAGAGUGCCACAGAGUGGGGGUGCUUUUGAAGAGAGAGGAGAGGGAGGCGGCGGCGGCGGCGCGGGUGGCUGUUCGGCGCCGAAUCCCCGCUUUUUGCAUUGGUAGAGCCCAGCGCAAUCGGAAGGCUCCCCAGAGGCCAGUAGGGGUGCCGUUGGCGCUCUCCCCGCUAGGGGGCGCUAGAGCAGUUCCUGGCGGUGGUAAAAGGGCGCCCCCUGCCUGCAUGGAUGGGGAGGACCUGGCAGAAAGUUCUCUCUGCGUGGUGGUGGCCCCUCCUGGAAACCGAUCCGCAUCACCUUGAUUCUGCCCCUGCCCUCUUUUUCCCAGCACCCCCAGCGCAGGUUACCAGUAGCCCAUCUCCCGCUGGUGGCAAAGCCUUCAAGGUGAUUCCUCUUUUGGCUAAAGGUUACUACACAUGAAUACUGUAGGGUCUUCCCCCUUAGGAGUUGGGGCCGCAGCUCAGUGGAGGAGCAUCUCCUUUGCACGUGGAAGGUCCCCGGUUCACUCCCUGGCGGCAGCAUCUCCAGAUGACACACGUCACGCGGCAAGAGGUUCUUGGCCUUUACCGCAAGAUCUUCCGAAUCGCCAAAAAAUGGCAGUCUGCUUCCGGGCAGAUGGAGGAGACCGUAAAAGAAAAACAGUACAUUAUAAAUGAAGCGAAAACCUUAUUCCAGAAGAAUAAACAUUUAGCAGAGCCUGAGCUGAUUAAACAAUGUAUAGAAGAGUGCAAGGCAAGAGUGGAGAUCGGACUGCACUAUCGCAUCCCAUAUCCCAGACCUAUCUAUCUGCCUCCCCUGGGCCUCGCUCAGCAGCACGGUCGUGCGUUUCGACAUCAGGAAAAGCUGAGGAAGCUUUCCAAGCCCGUCUAUUUGAAAUCCUAUGAUGAAGUUUCAUGAUUCUGACUCCAAGCACAGCCACUGUCGUCCUGGACUGCUUGGCAGACACCUUGCAUGCUCACCAGCGCAAACACAAGUGGUGUGGUUAGCACUGGAGAACACCUUUCUCAAGACCAGAAGCCCACUUGGAACCUGAGCACGGAAGGAUGUAUUAAAGCUGACUUUCAAUAAAUAGAGGUCAAGAGCUAACACUUCAGUGAAAGUAAGCAAGGUUGUGCUCAAGUACAAAGUGAUGCAUGGGGAAAGAUCUGCCAGGCCUUUGGUCACUCAGGGAGAUAUUCCCUCAUGCCCUGGAGAUUAUGGUCAAUAUUACUGAAGUUUCCGUUUGCCCUCAGAGCCCUAUUCAGCACAGGAAGGCCUUUAGAAAGCACCUGCAUGUCAAGUUGUUCUUUGUCUCAGUCUCGGGGGCUCAAGAGCAAGCAGACCAAGGCUGCACCACUCAAGCCCUCUAGCUGUUUUUGGACUGCAACUCCCAUCACCCUCAGUGGUCAGGGAUGAUGGGAGAUGUAGGCAAAUAUCUGCAGGAGGGCUGAAAUGUAUAAACAUUGUCCCUUGCUUGUAAAGCAAGAGGUUGCUUUCCCUCUUCUCCUGCACAAUGGAAAACACUGGGCUGGCUCUCACAGUUAUUUUGACGUCAGUUAAAUGAAACUCUGAAAUCCUGGGGGCGCACACACUGCUGCAGAACGUGUCAUCAGAACCCAGAAUGUUUCCCCUGAUCUCAGAUUAAAGCCAUGCUCAAGCAACAUGUCCCCGAGAUUGGCAAUCUGAGAUCUGAACUCAGUCAGUCCAUCAAGGCAACUCUAAUCUGACACUGGCCGGCAGGGGUGGGUUCUGUCUUCUCACAACACGUCUUUGCAGAUCCAUUUCCUACCCACCAAGCACAGCCACUGAAGGUGCACAGUGCAGGCCCUCUCCUGGCUUUCCUCUGCUGGGAUUCCCAGAUGUUGCUGACUACAACUCCCACAAUCCCCAGCUGCAGUGGCUUUUCCUUGGGGAUUAUGGGAGCUGUAGUCAACAUCAUCUGGGAAUCCCUGUUAGAGGACGACUCUAAAUAGAAGACAACUCUGAAUUAAAGUAAAGUGUGCUGUCGAGUCGGUGUCAACUCCUGGAGGUUUUACGCACAGCAGAUUUUACUGUAAACUUAAAGCUGUCUCAAUAAACUGCUGAAAAUAGUGGGGGUUUUUUACUCCAGAGAUAAAUCGGGCUACAUUUGAGUGCAGUGGGAAAUCUGAAUUGCACGUGUGGACUGCUCCCCGAUAACUCGCAGGGACUUUGGGGGAAAUCUGGCCGAUCUGUGUACUUGCACACUCCAUUCCGGAGGAGAUGCAAACUAAAAGCAAAAACCUCAUGGUAAAACUUGCUGGUGGUUGUCCUGUGAUUGUCUUUGGUAGAAUACAGGAGGGGUUUACUGUUGCCAUCUUCCAUGCAGUAUGAGAUGAUGCCUUUCAGCAUCUUCCUAUAUCACUGCUGUGACAACCCCCUUAAAAAUUAGGUAGAGGUUAUACUUGUAUUUACCUGAAAAGAAGAGGAUGCUGCAUUUAAGACAACCUCUCAAUUCCUAACAUCAAAUAACUGGGGGGGGGGCUAGUCUUGGAUUCAGGUAAAUCCAGGAUUUCUGCUCAUUCUCCGUUCAGAGAAUUCUGCGAGGCAGUGAUGCCAGGCCUUGUUGCAGUCUCUCUCUGAGACAGGACGGCUUCUUGCAUGGUCUUUGAGGAAACAACUUAAUUGUGCGAGACUUGAAUGAUCCUUUCCAAAGACCACAUCGACAGAUCAGUCUCCACCCAACCCUCUUAGAUGUGGCCACUGCACUGCUUAAAGUACCUAUUAUCUUUUAACCACACGUGGAUGUGCAGAGAUGAUUUAAAACCUUGUGUUUGAGUUCAGCGUAUGAAUAAGCUAAGUAGCUGGACAGUCUUGCAGCACAGACAGGGUAAGCGAGCUGGUGUGAUUCGGUAUUUCAUGGCCUAAUUAGCAGAGUCAGGCUUACUAAACGAGGACUGCUCAAAUCAGUGGGGGAAUGCCCGGUCCUGCAAGCAACUCCACAGAGGGCCUCCAGCCACCGGAAAGGGUCUCUCUUGGACACGGCAAAACCAAACAGCCUCUGUAAGAGAUGGCUCCUGGGCAAAACACAACUUCAGUCUGCAAACGUUAUCAGGGAGAACUGAAACGGAUGCCCCUCUGACAAUGGAACCUCACGACACCUACAACUGUUUGCAAAGCAAUUGUUCCGUCUUUGAGAUGGAAGACUGCAGAAGCAGAAAGUAUUUCCACACAGUCAAUUAAAGUUCCACAGGGGACGCCUGGAAGGCAUCAGCCCAGGGAGGAUGCAUACAGACCUCCCUCAAAGGGAGAAGCUGGUGCCGGCUUGCUAUCGCCUCAGCCUGGCUUCCCCAACGCCAUCCCUUUGGCCCCUCCUCCGCUGCUUCAGACCUGCCUCUUUCAUGUUGCUUAAAAUAAAAGGCUUAACAGCCACUUCUAUACUGAUGUCAUUUGAA